GCGGGUAUUGCAUAGUGGUAGUGUCUCAGUCUUCCAAACUGAAGGUGCGGGUUCGAUUCCCGCUACCCGCC
rnacentral:tRNA from 1 species